UUUCUAUGGAAAUAACCACUUUUACCUUUUAUAAAUUUGAAAUUAUAUUUAAAAAAAUAAUCACAUUAAUUAUUCUCUGACCACCAAACUGCUUGUAAACCACUUGUAGACUUCUAGAGAUUUCUAGCAAUCUAAAUACUGUAAGAGAGAGUUGUGGCUUUAUUGCUCAUCUGGAAUCCUGAACUCAUCAAGUCCAGGGCUCUUUAGGUUAAAGUAAAUAAAUUGCAAUCCAAUUUCUAAGGGACCCUUGAUGCCUCCUUGGUACCCGCUCUUUCUUUACCUAACUACUCCCUUGAGUUUGUCAUAGUCUAAUUAGGAUAGGUAGCAAAUUAAGCCAUUCAGUAUUGUGAGUAUUGGCAUAUUAUGAAGUUACCAGAGAUUCAUAGUGUGGUCCUCAGCUUUGCAGGUUCAGAGAUAUUUAUCAGCUCACAGAAUGAUUGGACUCUGAGUUAGAAUAGAGUUAGAAUACUCUGUUGCUGCGUGUAACAGAGAUGCAAAAGAGCAAUGACUUGAAUAAAGGAGAGGCUGGUGUGGCUGCAUUUAUCACAAGGUUAUCCUUGUGACUCGGACUCCUUUUAGCUUAUUGCUCUGCCAUUUCUAGGUGCCCUAGUCUUCGUGGUCCAAGAUGGUUCACAGCACAUUUGCAUUAUAGUCAUUAGAAGGAGGGGAAAAGGAAGGGGAGCACACCCUUUUCCUUACUGGGAUGACUCAAGUUGUUUACAUCACUUGCACUCUUGUUCCAUUUACCUAAAAUUAGCUGCAAGAAUGACUGACACAUACAUUUUAGCUGGUGCACAUAUGUAUGUGUUCUGUUUCUAAGGAGGGGAAGAUAUACUAGGUGCAGUAUCUGUGUCUUCUCUGCAUAACUACUGUACAUUCUUCUGGUUUCUAGAUGCUCAUGUAACCCCCCAGGCUCUGUUCUAAGAUCCUCCCCUUUUUUGUUGAUACAAUCCUCUACCCCAGGAUUCGAAGUACAAUUCAUAUGUCACUAACUCUGAAAUCAUAUUUCCAGUCCCAACUCUUCCAGGAAACUUGAGGACAUAGCCAAUUGCCUGUGUGACCUUUCCACAUUUACACAUGGAUGGCCUAGCGACAGAUCAAAUUUAAGAUGGUUAACACAGUGUUGACUUCCCCUUCCCACCUUUGCUCUAUUAUCACUCCAGUUCAAGCUGUUAACAUCCUGCCCAUUGGCUUCUUUUUAACAUCUUGUUUCCCAGCUUUCACCUUUGUCUACCUAAAGUCUGUUGCCCCUUAUAGCAGACAGAGCUCUCUUUUAAACAUGCAAACCCUCCAGAUCCUCCAAAUUGGUGUCUCAAUUCUUUCAUUAUAAAAUGUCCACCCUUUACCCUGGCUCACAAGGCACAAUGUGGUCCAAACUAACUCUCAAUCUUACCUCAUUUAAUUUUGGCCAUAUCACUCCCCUCAUGCCAAAACGAAUUCCUUUCUAGCCUGUAAACAUACUAAGAUCUUUUCUACGUUAAGGCCUUUUCACUAACUGUUCUCUGUUCCUGAAAUGCUAUUUCUCCUAAUUCUUGCAUAGCUAUAUUUUCACAUUCAGGCUUCUGCUUAAAUGUCACCUCUUCAGAUUUGAUAAGCACUCUAAUUUAUUACUCUGAAAAUGCAUAAAUAAAAGAAUCAAGCAUCCAUUCUGUCUUUUCUAUACCAUUCUAUAUUUCAGGGUAAACAAAUAGUUGAUAGGGGGAGAGUUCUUUUUUUUUUUUUUUUUUAUAGAAGAGUCAUAGCUAAUAAAUGAAACAAAUUUGGAAUUAGAAUAUUGGCUUUUUGCAGCUCCUAUUGAAAUAAUGGAUCUUAGCAACAAUGUAUGAACUUUGAUCCUAAUUUGGGAAGGAAAAUGAUAAUUUUGAGACCAAAUGAGGAGCCAUGAGUAUGGACUGCAUAUCAUGAUAAUUGGAAUGAGAGCACAGGCCUUGCCAUGUUCAACACUAUAUGCCCAGCAUGCAAAAUACUUCCAGAUACUACUGGUUGGUGUAUACUGUUUGUGGAAUGAAUGAGUUAAAUGUGGAACUGAAAAAGCCAUAGAGCUAGAAGGAACCAACAGAGGGAAUAAGAACAUGCCAGAGAAAUCUCUGACAGAGCAACCGAAUCUCUGCUUAAAUACCUGCAGUGAAGUAUUCAACAUGACUGACAUGCCUUCAUCUGAGAGCUUCAGGUGAGUUCUCCCUCCUAGACCUGCCUUUUGGAACAAUGUAGAACAAGCUAGGCUUUCCAAUAUCUCUAAAGGCACUGGGCCCAGUUCUUUUGUGGUUUCGUCACCUGUGUCAGUUUGAAACAAAUUACCUCUUGGCAGAAUCUUCAAUUCAACAAAAUGCCACUUCCCUCUGUUUUCUUCCUAAGUACCUUGCCUUCCAGUCAUCUUCCUUCUUUCUCAAAUGUCUGAAAACAUUGAUCAUUUCCAAUAGUGGCUGUGCCAGCCACAGGCUGUUGCAGAUCACAGACAGUGCUUGAGAAUUGUUCUGAUAAUGUGCAGAGGAAAAGAAAAGCUCUGUGGUCACUUUUUCCUUCUUCCUCUUUUUUAAUGUUUAUUUUUGAGAGAGAGAAACAGAGCACAAAUGGGGGAAGGGCAGAGAGCGAGCAGGACACAGAAUGCAAAGCAGGCUCCAGGCUCUGAGCUCUCAGCACCGAGCCCGACGUGGGGCUUGAACCCACAAACUGUGAGAUCGUGACCUGAGCCGAAGUCGGAUGCUCAACCUACUGAGUCACCCAGAAAUUGCCUUGCAUGGGGAAUAUCCGUAACUGGCCAAAAUGAAGCCCACACAGAAGCUGGCUUCAACUUCUUGGUGUGAUCAGCUCUCAACAAGACACAGAUACCAGUGAACGCCAACCGGCCGCUGGGAAGGGAAGAAAGGGGCCUUAAAAACAAAGAACUUCAUGUAACAAAGUGCCAAGAUCAAUAUUUCUGUGUUGAUUAGAACAAACUUUACAAGUAGGAAUAAAGGUAAGGACAAUCUGCUUUGCUUCAACUUCUCAAUUUUACCAGAAGACUCAAAAUUUCCUUAAAAAAUAUGACUGGAGGCCAAAGGGAACGGAUAACCAAUGGCUGGCUUCCUUCUAAUCAUUCUUCUAUGUGAUGUAUUACUUUUAUUAACAUAGAAACAUACGGCCUAAGCUGAGGCGAAAGGCUGUUCUGAGUAGGGUAGUACAGUCAUCGCAGCAAGGAAUUUCGCUACCUUUUCACUUUUGAACUGACUGCUCCUUUUUCUUUAUGCAUCUUUUUAAGGAUCAGAGAAGUAAUUGAUGAAUACAUGGUUGUAAAGAAAUUCACUUAGGACUUCUGUUUGAAAGUUCCCCUAUGACAGUAAACUCAAAACUGGCUCUAGAAGGCUGAACUACUGUGCUCACUUCGGCAGCACAUAUACUAGAAGGCUGAACUACUUCUAUCAGGAUCUUCAUUAAGAAAGUGAGUAACAUAUGAAAGGAGAAAGAGAAGAGGCUUCGAGGAAUGUUACAGCUGCCGAUCAGCACAAAUUUCCCAUGUGCCGAGCUGUGCGGGCCACGCCGGACAGCAGGAAACAGGCAUGGCCCCCACCUCUCAAGAUAUAAAAAAUUUUGGUUAAGUUUUGAGGGGAAAAAAGAACUAUUCAAAAUAAUGUUUAGGUGGGACAAAAACAACUUCUAGAAAUGAAAAAUGGACAAACUCAAUUCUUAAAGUGAAUGGGAACAAAGCAUGUCAUACACAGAGUUACAACUCCACAAAUAUUUUUGUUUAUGAGCCACUUAAGAAAAUGUAGUAUUUUGCUUGUCAGUUUUGACUCUAAGAAACUACCACUUAAAUGUGGGUUUGGGAUAUUUACCUGCUUUGUACCUAAAAUGGAAAUACAAUGACACACUAAAACUUCAGUUUCAUCACUGCCCUUCCUGAGAAAGAAUCCUACCUUUUUGGGUCCUCUUCUCAGCGGAGGCCUGUGAGGCCAUGUAAAUGGCUGCCGCCGCCACAGAUAUCGGGCUCCUUCCAGG